AUUCAGCUGACGAGUCCCGAAUAGGACGAAACGCGUGUACUGGAU
rfam:Schistosoma rodhaini strain Burundi genome assembly, scaffold: SROB_scaffold0000003